rnacentral:rRNA from 1 species
CGGCAACAGCUCAAAUUUGAAAUCUGGCUCUCCUUGGGAGCCCGAGUUGUAAUUUGCAGAGGGUGCUUUGGCUUUGGUAGCGGUCUAAGUUCCUUGGAACAGGACAUCACAGAGGGUGAGAAUCCCGUAUGUGAUCGCUCCCCAUCGCCGUGUAAAGCCCCUUC